rnacentral:tRNA from 1 species
GCCUGGCUCAGUUGGUUGAGCAUCUGACUUCAGCUCAGGUCAUGACCUUGUAGUUUGUGAGUUCAAGCCCCACAAUGGGCU